AGAGAGAGAGAGAGAGAGAGAGAGAGAGAGAGACAGAGAGAGAGAGAGAGAGAGAGAGAGAGUGGGAGAGAGAGAGAGAGAGAGAGUGAGAGAGAGAGAGAGAGAGAGAGAGAGAGAUUCUUACACUUUUGUCUGUUUAUCAUCAAUGUUCAUAAUUUCACAAAAAUGUGCUUCUGUCUGCCUGUUUUAUGUCUAUGAUUUAACUGCGAGCAGCUAACAUUGAAGAAUAUUUCUAAAAGGAAUAGUUAACCCAAAAAUGACAAUUAUGUCAUCAUUUACUCACAUGAGAGAAGCUCGUUUACAAUGGCUCAAAAGCCAAAAAGCUCAAGUUCUUGUGUGCACAACUCAGGUUCUCAUGCACUUAUGAAUGCGUAAAUUUGAUGGUCUGUAAAAUCUCUUAUUUGUGUAACUUUAGAAGACUUGGAAAAUGAUGCACGAGUUGUAUGGACUACUUUUAUGACACUUUUGGGUCCUUUUUAAACUUUAAGAUCCUUUUCAUACUUGGCUCCUAAACUAUGGAAUAAUCUCCCUAGCACUGUUCGGGAUGCAGACACACUCACAUCUAUUUAGCCAGCCUUGGGAUUUAUAUCCUGAGGUUACCAGAGCCGGCCAGAUCCAGCUCCGUUCCUCCACUGCUACGUGUCACUGAGAGAUGACGACAAACUACAGCCGGUGCUAGCCAGACAUCACUUCAGUUUUUUUACAUCAGAGGAUGAACUGAUGCCAACUCCAGCUGUAAGACAUCGGAUACUUCAUAUGCCACUGCCUGAACCUUGGACUUAGGAUGAACCCCACAUGAACUGCGAUGCACCUCAUCAUUUAUCUCUGCCUGCAUCACCUUGGUCUAAUAAUGGACUACACUCUUGAAAUGGAAUACAUAAACUUUCAAUUAUUUGCCAUCAAAAGCCUUCAUCAGCCAAAUAACAAUGGACAAUGCAUCAAUGUGAACUUCUGCAGUUAAUCCAGGAUGGACUUCAAAGACAUUAGUCAUUAAUCUUACAGUUCAUACAAAAUCGUCGGCCCUUAUCAUUUACUUAGUUUACUAAUUUUAAACCAUGACUUGCACUGCACAUAACUAAGUAAUAUUGACAUAAUAUUCAUGCUGUUAGCCAGAGGGGAACUGACCCCCACAGUGAGUCUGGUUUCUUCCAAGGUUAUUUUUCUCCAUUAACCAACAUCUUAUGGAGUUUAGUGUUCCCUGCCACAGUCGCCUUCAGUUUGCUCACAGGGGUUCUCAAUACAAUUAUUAUUUAAUUUCUAUACACAAUUUACAAUCAUAUUUAAUCAAACUACUACACAAUGAUCACUGUAAGACUUUAUAGAUAUUACAGUUUCAUUUUCUGUUAAUGUAUGAUUUCCUGUAAAGCUGCUUUGAAACAAUUUGUGUAGUGAAAAGCGCUGUACAAAUAAAAAUUACUUGAUUUCGAUUAAUGUAUCAAAAAUAUGCACUCGACUAGAUUACACUAUAUAAGGUUUAGUUUAUUUGUGUUGGGACUACAUGAAUCAUUUUUGUUGACAUAACUAAAUAGGCAGAGGUGUUGUAGUAGAGGUCUUCCUCACGACCCACGGGACCCGAUUAGAUUUCUUGCUUUAUGGGAUUCAAUUUCCAAGUUGAAGGCGGGAGUGGAUGGUCAGAGAAUAGCCUGAAAAUCUGAUGUGGAUAUAUAUAUACAUAUAUAUAUUAUAUAUAUUAUUAUUAUUAUUUUUUUUUACAACAUAAAAUAAAUGUGCACACAGCAUUGAAUAUUUAGAGCUGGCAGGUAGUCAACGGGGCUUAAGAAGAAUGGAAGAGCAAAGCAUGGGCACAUUGUGUAAUCAAAGGGUGUGUAAUUCGGAAUAUAAAAUGGUCAAUUUGCUGUAAAGAAACCAGCCUCAGGCAAGUCAGAUGAGCAUCAGGUCACGCAUCAUCUGAUAAUAGCAAGAACAGAAAAAUAAAAAGUUUUUGCGCAGACCUCUAAUUUAUAGUUUACAGCAUGCUUUGCAUGGGACUUUAUGGGGAGAGAAAAUAUGUUACAAUUAAGUGUUUUUUAUAUAUAUUUGAGCAAGAUGAGAAAAAGGGGAGACUUGAUUGUGUUUAAUGUUCAGUUAUUUUGGGAUUUAGAACGAUUCUGUUACGCAGGUUUACCAUUGUGGUGAAGAGUGGAACCUUUGCUUACGUAAAGGACGGGUACACAAAAAAGAUAUGGCAUGUUGCUUUACUCAAGGAGCAAUUCCACCUAGUAUUUAGCAUGCUAAUGCUAGCUAAAAGUUAGCUAACCAGCAUAGCCUCAUAACAUAAAUCAGUGACACAAAAUGAUUGUGAAAAACUAAAAGGAAUGAAUGUUAGGGACACAUAUAAAUUCACUUUGA